GCCAACCUGUUCUGGUCUGCUUACACGCUGUGGAAGCUUUGUUCUUUCGCUUUUUGCAAUAAAUCUUGCUACUGCUCACGCUUUGGGUCCACACUGCCUUUAUGAGCUGUAACACUCACCCCGAAGGUCUGCAGCUUCACUCUUGAAGCCAGCGAGACCACGAGCCCACCGGGAGGAAGGACAACUCCAGACGCGCUGCCUUAAGAGCCGUAACACUCACCGCGAAGGUCCGCAGCUUCACUCCUGAGCCAGCGAGACCACGAACCCACCAGAAGGAAGAAACUCCGAACGCAUCUGAAUAUCAGAAGGAACAAACUCCAGACACGCCGCCUUUAAGAACUGUAACACUCACCGUGACGGUCCACGGCUUCAUUCUUGAAUCUCUCUGAUGUGCCCAUUUCAGCCAUCAGAAGGGGGAACCCUAAAAGCCUCCUGGAAGGGUGACCUGCUCCUGAAACUGGUGCACACUGCUUCUGCCAGAUUCUGUUGGACACCACGGUUACCCAGCCACACCUACUGCGAGGGAGCCUGGGAAUGCAGACCAGCCAGGGGCCCCAUGAGAAGGGGUAACGGCUUCUGUUGGACAGCCGGACGGCAGCCAGCCAGCCCUUGGCCUCCAGACAUCUGUGAGACCCACCCUUCCUCCACACAUCGUGUUAGAAAAAGUCACCAUCAUCUCCAGGGAGAAGACCCAGCCCAAAGCCUGCCUCUCUAGGAUGGGCAGAGCCUUUCCGUGGGUCCCGAUGACUGUCUUCCGGGUCCAACUGACAGAUGAUUCAUUAAGCCAUCUGCUCCCCUCCCCCCGCAACCUGAGCCUUCAUCUGAUCUUUGCCGUAGGCCUGCACACUUUUGUUGGACUGAGCUGCCUGAGUGACAGGCCUUGAACAGCCACCAUCUUUUCUCCUACUGUUUGAGGCAUAAACAGUGGCUUUUUCAACCUGGGAGUCCCAACUUUCUGGGGUAACUCUAAUUGCAAACCGGCCCUCAAUUUCUGGAAACAGUAGUCAAGCUACAGGGAAUGAGUGCCUCGCGCUAACCUUCUGGCUCUUUCCUCCCUCUUCCCAGCGUUCCCAAGCCUUUACCUCGGCACACCAGGGGACGUGUGGCAUCAUCUUCAAUUCACCACAUCCGUUUCCCUGUAUCCCCAAGUGCCAGGGCAGGUGUAUCAGUCGGCUUUUGCCACAACAGUGCUGCAUAACGACGACCUUAAAGCUUGGUGGCCGAGUCUCACGCUCACAGGGCUAGGGCCGACCUCCACCUGGCCAAGCCCCUGGCCUCCGGGUUCUGGGAUGUGGGCUGGGCUGAGGUCCGCCCAGGUUUCUCGCUUCUUGGAGCCCCCGUCAGUUAUCUGCGUUCUCCAUUCUUCUCUGGGGCACAGCCUGCUUGUAGUGGGUCCCUGGCAAGCAGGAAGACCAGGCUGCCCUUGCUGGCACAUUCCAAACCUUUGCCCAUUUCAAAUCUGCUACCUUCCCACUAGCCAGAGCACGUCACUCGCCAAGCCCAAAGUCAAGGGAGGAGAGCCCACCCACCACCUAGAGACCACAGCAAGCAGACGGAUGUAAAAUUCUGCUACGGGGGAGUGAAAAACCAAUGAUUAAAUUGCUAAUUGAAUUGUAAGUUAAACUGCUCUGAGGCAUAGACGCUGGUGUAAAUGCCUAAACAAAAGAGAAGUGGAUUUCUCUCUUGACAACCAUGGCAGGGUUUCCGUUUGACAAUGGCCUUGAUUCUUGCAGUCACUCAGAGCCCUAGGCUGAGGGUGACUCUGCUGUCCUCAAGCGAAGCUUCCUGUGUCACCCUGGUUGUUGCCAGGCCCUGGGAAAGGAAAAGUUAAUGGAGGGCCUUUUGGGCCAGUCACAGGAGAGGCACACGUCACUGCUGUCACCUCCACUGCAGGUGGCCACCUGGCCACACCCCUUGCCAGGGAACCUGGCAGAUUCAGUCUAGCCCAGGCCAAGGAGGAGGGGCACCCAAUCUCGCUGUACAGCGCCGGCUCUGCGCUAGUUAGUUCGCUCGUGUUAGUUCUUCAGUUUGUGGUGCGUCCUUGGGGUUGGUGAUCCCAGCUUUGUGUGGGAUCCCUGCUUGUCCAUCAGCAGCACGUGGUCAGACACCUCAACUGUGGCUGACGGCUCAGAGCCCACGACUCCCCGCUCCCUCCAGGUGUUAUUCCACAAUGGGAUCUCUUCUCUGUCCACUGCCUGUGCUGAGUGUACUCAGCCAAGGGUGAGGCUGCCCUCCCACAGACACCCCAGCCAUCCCCCUCCCACUGUCCCAGGGCCCCUUGGCUCCUCUGGGAGCUGCCAUCACCUGCCAGCAGGUUUCACUUCUGGGCACCAAGGCUGUCAUUUCUUCCCUCCAGCGAGAGCAACGUCCCCACCCCCAUCUCCCCAGGACUCCUCCAGAUUUCUGGGCCACGGAGGGCACCCAUCUUGUCCCUGCUGGUUGUAAUGGACUUACAGUUUUUUUUUCUUUGUUUUUUUGGAGAUGGAGUUUCACUCUCGUUGUUGCCCAGGCUGGAGUGCAAUGGCGCAAUCUCGGCUCACCACAGCCUCUACCUCCUGGGUUCAAGCGAUUCUCCUGCCUCAGCCUCCUGAAUAGUUGGGACUACAGGCAUUCGCCACCAAGGCUGGCUAAUU
rnacentral:lncRNA from 1 species